CCGAGAGACUGCGGCGAUAUCUACCUGUCUGGGCAAAACCACAGCGGUGUCUACAACAUUUACCCUUACGAAGAUUCAUCAGUAGCUGUCUCAGCAUACUGCGAUAUGGAGUCAGACGGCGGAGGAUGGACUGUCUUUCAGAAGCGGGGACAGUUUGGAAAUCCCGUAUACUACUUUCACAGAAAAUGGGAUGAAUACGCCCGUGGUUUCGGAAACCCUGCUGAGGAGUACUGGUUAGGUAACAACGUCCUUCACGCCCUGACCUCAAGCAAAGCAAUGAGGCUACGAAUCCAACUCAAGAACCACACGGGUGAAACACUCACAGCCGACUAUUCAGUUUUCAAAGUUUCUGAUGAAAAAGAACACUUCAAGAUUAGAGUGUGCGGA